GAGGGUAUAGCUCAACUGGCAGAGCACGUGCUUAGCAUGCACAAGGUCCUGGGUUCAAUCCCCAGUACCUCCU
rnacentral:tRNA from 1 species